rnacentral:rRNA from 1 species
UUGGUGAUUCAUGAUAACUUUACGGAUCGCAUAGCCUUGCGCUGGCGACGGUUCAUUCAAAUUUCUGCCCUAUCAACUUUCGAUGGUAAGGUAUUGGCUUACCAUGGUUUCAACGGGUAACGGGGAAUUAGGGUUCGAUUCCGGAGAGGGAGCCUGAGAAACGGCUACCACAUCCAAGGAAGGCAGCAGGCGCGCAAAUUACCCAAUCCCGACACGGGGAGGUAGUGACAAUAAAUACUGAUACAGGGCUCUUUUGGGUCUUGUAAUUGGAAUGAGUACAAUUUAAACCUCUUAACGAGGAACAAUUGGAGGGCAAGUCUGGUGCCAGCAGCCGCGGUAAUUCCAGCUCCAAUAGCGUAUAUUAAAGUUGUUGCAGUUAAAAAGCUCGUAGUUGAAACUUGGGCCUGGCUGGCGGGUCCGCCUCACCGCGUGCACUCGUCCGGCCGGGCCUUCCUUCUGAAGAACCUCAUGCCCUUCACUGGGCGUGCUGGGGAAUCAGGACUUUUACUUUGAAAAAAUUAGAGUGUUCAAAGCAGGCCUUUGCUCGAAUACGUUAGCAUGGAAUAAUAAAAUAGGGCGUGCGUUUCUAUUUUGUUGGUUUCUAGAGACGCCGCAAUGAUUAACAGGAACAGUCGGGGGCAUCAGUAUUCCGUUGUCAGAGGUGAAAUUCUUGGAUUUACGGAAGACUAACUACUGCGAAAGCAUUUGCCAAGGAUGUUUUCAUUAAUCACUGAACGAAAGUUAGGGGAUCGAAGACGAUCAGAUACCGUCGUAGUCUUAACCGUAAACUAUGCCGUCUACGGAUCGGGCGAUGUUCUUUUUCUGACUCGCUCGGCACCUUACGAGAAAUCAAACUUUUUGGGUUCUGGGGGGAUUA